GACUGCUGGAUCUGUUUUAACACCUCAGAUUAUACCACUUCGAAUUUCAAGUAGCAGAGCAAAACAUGAAAUAGAUACAAAUACUCUUGUUGAAAUGAAAUCAGAUACACGUGAUGUGACCAUAUAUUUUACUAUUGAUGGAAGUAAACCGCAAUAUUUUAAGAGGUUUGAUUAUAGACAUCAUAAUACUUUUAAGUAUAAGAAACCAAUUACAUUACCACAUGGGAAAAUAACCAUCAAGGCAUUGGCAGUCACAAAAGAUUACAGAGAAAGUGCCAUUGUAACAAAAGUAUUUAUAGUAGAACAUGCAACGUCAAACCCUCAUGACCUUGAUAAAGAUGAGAAUUUCCUGAAUUGUCUCACU